UUCUCUCCAUGUUCUUUCUGCUAUGCCAUGACCAAACGUACAUGAAGAUUAUACUGCAAGGGAUAGAGAGAUCACAUGAUGAAAGCUUCUGAAUUCCUGAAUCACCACAACGAGGAAAGUUAUCAGCUGACCAGAAACACAUGCCUUGGACUAUUAUGUGUACUGGAGGAGAAAGUGAUGCAUUUCAUCAUGAAACUAAAUAUCUACUUGACCCAGAAACUGAAAAGUUGAAGGCGGGCAUCCAAUAGCGGUCGUUGAUCUACAGCCCUAUAUCAACCAGGUGGGAUAACAGGUGACCGACGCCAUACUCGAGCUUCAAAAGUACCUGUGUACUACUCUCAGCCGUCUGAAUCUAAAUACAAAAGGUGACUCCUGGUUCUCUUUGUCUUCCCAAUCUAUUACAAGAUUUCUCCUGUACUCUGCCACAUGUACAACAAAUAUCCAGAAAAGAGAAUUCUGGAAACCACAGUUCAAGCCUAAUUAAGUUGAUGUAAUACAAAUCUACCACGCUAAUGAUCUUUUAAUGAUUUAAAGUACAGCUGCUUUCUUUCUUUGUUGAUUUAUUAUUUAAUUGAAUGAAUACUCAUUACUCACAUUAUUUCUUUAAUAAUCUGUAAUAUGUAUGAAUUCAGCUGGAAUUAAUAAGACAUGGUCCCUUGAGUCAUACAACUUCUAGUCCAUCAAAGAAACAGAUGUACAAUCAUAUAACUAGCACACAAUUUAAUUAUGUUGUUAAUAAAUGCUUUUAUAAUGGUAUAUACAAAGUGGU
rnacentral:lncRNA from 10 species